GCGACAGGCCUAACACAUGCAAGUCGAGGGGCAGCACAAGGAGCAAUCUGAGGUGGCGACCGGCGCACGGGUGAGUAACACGUAUGCAACCUGCCUGUAAGCGGGGAAUAACCCGUUGAAAGACGGACUAAUACCGCAUAAUACUAAAUUACUGCAUGGUAAUUUAUUUUAAACAUUUAUGGCUUACAGAUGGGCAUGCGCAUGAUUAGCUAGUUGGAGAGGUAACGGCUCCCCAAGGCAACGAUCAUUAGGGGUUCUGAGAGGAAGGUCCCCCACACUGGUACUGAGACACGGACCAGACUCCUACGGGAGGCAGCAGUGAGGAAUAUUGGUCAAUGGACGAGAGUCUGAACCAGCCAAGUCGCGUGCAGGAAGAAUGUCCCUAUGGAUUGUAAACUGCUUUUGCAGGGGAAUAAAGUGCAUCACGUGUGAUGUUUUGUAUGUACUCUGCGAAUAAGGAUCGGCUAACUCCGUGCCAGCCGCCGC
rnacentral:rRNA from 1 species